rnacentral:misc_RNA from 1 species
UCUCCGUAGGUGAACCUGCGGAGGGAUCAUUACAAGUGACCCCGGUCUUACCACCGGGAUGUUCAUAACCCUUUGUUGUCCGACUCUGUUGCCUCCGGGGCGACCCUGCCUUCGGGCGGGGGCUCCGGGUGGACACUUCAAACUCUUGCGUAACUUUGCAGCCUGAGUAAACUUAAUUAAUAAAUUAAAACUUUUAACAACGGAUCUCUUGGUUCUG